GGAACCACUGAGCAUACUCGCACCGAAGUUGAGUGAGUUCAGUACCGCCCUAAGUCAUCAACGUCAGUCAGCCUGAGCAUAAACGUCAGGCAGCGAACAGCGUGGCGAACUGUCACUAGGAGCAUAAUUCAGAAUCGAACGAUACGUGAAGAAGUGCGCCCGUAAGGCCAAAUUGAAAAAUUGUAUUUGAAAUUUGAUGAAAUCGCGAGUGUAUUUAGAAAUCAGUUCAGCUGUAAUUACGUAGUCUUUAUCAGUCGUGAACUAGGUAAUUUGAAUCAGUUGCGUCAUUGAAAUACCUAACGCUUAAUUGAAUUACAAAUAUCUAUUACCUACAUUACACUCGAAGCGCAGUUUGUCUAUUGAUUAUAGCUAACGUAUUCUAUCAAAUUAAAAUUACAUGCAAUAAUUUAACGUGCAGAAGUUUUGGAGGACAAAAACACAAAAAGCAACACGAAAAUCUUUGAAUCUGCUCUAUGCUGCUAUCGGAUCGUGUUUUGUUUCUCUCCUGAAUCCUACCGAAACAGAUGUUGUG